rnacentral:rRNA from 1 species
CAGUAGCCGCGGUAAUACGAGGGGGGCAAGCGUUGUUCGGAAUUAUUGGGCGUAAAGGGUGCGUAGGCGGUUUGAUAAGUCUUGUGUGAAAUCUAUGGGCUCAACCCAUAGUCUGCGUAGGAAACUGUCGGGCUUGAGAGUGGGAGAGGUGAGUGGAAUUUCCGGUGUAGCGGUGAAAUGCGUAGAUAUCGGAAGGAACACCUGUGGCGAAAGCGGCUCACUGGACCAUUUCUGACGCUGAUGCACGAAAGCUAGGGGAGCAAACAGGAUUAGAUACCCCAGUAGUCCCUGUCUCUUAUAA